rnacentral:rRNA from 1 species
UGGGGAAUAUUGCACAAUGGGCGCAAGCCUGAUGCAGCGACCCCGCGUGAGGGAUGGAGGCCUUCGGGUUGUAAACCUCUUUUAUCGGGGAGCAAGCGAGAGUGAGUUUACCCGUUGAAUAAGCACCGGCUAACUACGUGCCAGCAGCCGCGGUAAUACGUAGGGUGCAAGCGUUAUCCGGAAUUAUUGGGCGUAAAGGGCUCGUAGGCGGUUCGUCGCGUCCGGUGUGAAAGUCCAUCGCUUAACGGUGGAUCCGCGCCGGGUACGGGCGGGCUUGAGUGCGGUAGGGGAGACUGGAAUUCCCGGUGUAACGGUGGAAUGUGUAGAUAUCGGGAAGAACACCAAUGGCGAAGGCAGGUCUCUGGGCCGUCACUGACGCUGAGGAGCGAAAGCGUGGGGAGCGAACAGGAUUAGAUACCCUGGUAGUCCACGCCGUAAACGGUGGAUGCUGGAUGUGGGGACCAUUCCACGGUCUCCGUGUCGGAGCCAACGCGUUAAGCAUCCCGCCUGGGGAGUACGGCCGCAAGGCUAAAACUCAAAGAAAUUGACGGGGGCCCGCACAAGCGGCGGAGCAUGCGGAUUAAUUCGAUGCAACGCGAAGAACCUUACCUGGGCUUGACAUGUUCCCGACAGCCGUAGAGAUACGGUCUCCCUUCGGGGCGGGUUCACAGGUGGUGCAUGGUCGUCGUCAGCUCGUGUCGUGAGAUGUUGGGUUAAGUCCCGCAACGAGCGCAACCCUCGCCCUGUGUUGCCAGCACGUCGUGGUGGGAACUCACGGGGGACCGCCGGGGUCAACUCGGAGGAAGGUGGGGAUGACGUCAGAUCAUCAUGCCCCUUACGUCCAGGGCUUCACGCAUGCUACAAUGGCCGGUACAACGGGAUGCGACACCGCGAGGUGGAGCGGAUCCCUUAAAACCGGUCUCAGUUCGGAUUGGAGUCUGCAACCCGACUCCAUGAAGGCGGAGUCGCUAGUAAUCGCGGAUCAGCAACGCCGCGGUGAAUGCGUUCCC